GAGGGUAUAGCUCAGUGGCAGAGUGUGUGCUUGGCAUGCACAAGGUCCUGGGUUCAAUCCUCAGUACCUCCA
rnacentral:tRNA from 1 species